UGGCUUAGAUGGUAAAGAAUCUGCCUGCAAUGCAGGAGACCCAGGUUCAAUCCCUGG
rnacentral:tRNA from 1 species